CCAGGGGUGGCAGAGUGGCCAAUUGCACUAGACUGUAAAUCUAGCGGGUUUUCCCUGCGGAGGUUCGAUUCCUCCCCCCUGGA
rnacentral:tRNA from 1 species